rnacentral:ncRNA from 2 species
GCAGAUAAUGACUAUUGGCUUCGUAUAACCUCACUGAUAGGGUGUGAGGGUCUCUACCAGAAUCCGUAAAAUUCUGAUUACGAAGAGUAAAGUGAUUGAU